rnacentral:rRNA from 1 species
GACGAACGCUGGCGGCGUGCUUAACACAUGCAAGUCGAGCGGUAAGGCCCUUUCGGGGGUACACGAGCGGCGAACGGGUGAGUAACACGUGGGUGACCUGCCCUUAGCUCUGGGAUAAGCCUGGGAAACUGGGUCUAAUACCGGAUAUGACUCCAUGACGCAUGUUGUGGGGUGGAAAGCCUUGUGCGGCUAGGGAUGGGCCCGCGGCCUAUCAGCUUGUUGGUGGGGUGAUGGCCUACCAAGGCGACGACGGGUAGCCGGCCUGAGAGGGCGACCGGCCACACUGGGACUGAGACACGGCCCAGACUCCUACGGGAGGCAGCAGUGGGGAAUCUUGCACAAUGGGCGAAAGCCUGACGCAGCGACGCCGCGUGGGGAGUGACGGCCUCGG